CUUGUUUCUAGUGUAGAGAAUGUAACACUUACCAGGCAGGAAAGAGUAAUUGUCAAAAAGUUAACACCAAACUGCUUUCGUUUUCUUCUCUUUAGUCAAAAGUAUAAUGCUCUGUUCCCAUCUAUUCCAACCUAUAAGGCUUACCAUUUUAUCUACAAAGUAUUUAUCAAUGGAACUGUCUGUUUUGUAGUCUUAAACUGGACAGAAGAAUUGACCUUCAAGAUUCAAGGAUUAGACUCACAGAAACCUCAAGAAAGCCAAUCUUUCAUCUCACAAAGCCUAUCUCAAAGUUCAUACCGAUCUAGUGAAUCCUCUGAGAAAAUAAGUACUCAAUCACACCUCACAAAAGAGAGGAAUAAAGACAGCGAUUCAGAGAAUAUCCGAUAGCCAGACUAUGGGAUACCAGCACACGGCCUCAUCUAGCACAACAGACCUGAAACCCAUGCUAUCUUCAUCCUGUGGGAGUCCUUGAACCCUUAAUGCAGGUACAGUUGAAGUGUAAGUCUUAAUCUUUUAUACUUGUAUUUCAUAAGUACAUGUUCACUAAGUCAGAGUGACAGUUUGUCUCUCCCUAAAACAGAGAAGUUUGGGGUAUUUGCUGAUUACCUGUAAAUUUUAGUGUGAUACACAUGGCAUGGGUGCACUUGUAUAUAAUCCAACCCCAGAAACAGGUCCAAGACUCUGAAAGAGCAAGGAUUAUGUCUUAAGUAUUUUUGUUGCAUUUCCUAACCAUUUUGCUAUUGAGUUGACAAGUGAANUUUCCUUUAUGAAAAGUAGUCUUAGCCAAGGUGUGCAAAUUUGGAAAAUUAUUAACUAUAGUUGUGUUUGUGAAUCAGAAGCAGAGGCAAACAGCCAUUUUUUCUCAGAUACCUCUUACAAAUAAGGCAUAGGAAACACCCAUAUCCAUGGCAUUCAUUAAACAUCCCAUUUAGGCAGUUCUACAGCUUUGUGAACUCUGUACUUCAGUGCCUUUUUUUCCCUGUGCAGAGAAGUGGGUGAUUCAUUAAUACAUAGCUUCUGCAUACCUGGAGGUAUUUUUCUGUCCACUAAAUAGGAUUGGAAUGAGAAAUAAAUAUUUGGUGAUAAAGGGAGAAACU
rnacentral:lncRNA from 1 species